GACUGCAGUGAACAUCUUUCUUCCCUGGUUUUAUGUCACCCAAUCCAGUCCCUCAUGAGUACAUUUAGGAAAUGAGAGAUAUUAAAUAAUUUCUUUCUGCACAGUGGCAGGUCUAUCUUUAAUUCAGGUAUAAACACAGCAUUUCCUCAAAAUCAUUUUUAUCCCGCAUGAAAAAAAAAGAAAAAGAAAAAGAACCGAUCAAAUGGAUCAAGCUAUACAAAGAUAUCAUAAAAAAUUUUUAUUUACAUACAUCUCUCUUACCUAAGUGUCUUUCUUCUUUAGAGUGAUUUUCUUCUCAGCUUCCUGCAUUUUCUACCACCCUGUUACAUUUUAAGAAAGAAACUACAGGCUGAAGUUUCUCCUCUGUUACACCAUAAAAACUUUGGAAAAAUUACUAUUUCAAAGUUAUUUCUUUUAAUUUUGGGUACAUUAUUUUAAGUGUAAAAUGAGUCUUUGGUGUUCCAUCACUUAAACUGAAAAAAAAUAUUUUGGCAAUGAAGAAUUUUGUACUUCACUAAUACACCAGCAGUGUUGAGAACAUGUCUCAAAAAAUGUGAACAGUACUUGUAAAACUGUGUAACUCUCCUCAAAUGACACAAUAGCAUUUUAUGUGGCUGAAAAUGAAAGAGUAUGUAUGAGGUUGAUCCUGAAUACUAUUCCAACACCUUAUUUAAACAACCUCUGCUUGUUUGCAAUUUUCAUUACUUUAUAUGUUUUUUUAGUUCAGUUCUGUCAUAAAUGCACUUUGUAAAACAUUAAUCUUAACCAUAUGCAACCAACUGAACAUUGUAGUAUCUUUCCUCAAGUUUUUAUGUAUCUCUGCAUUCCAGUCAACUGGCAACCCAAGUUGUUGUGUAAAACCCUCAACCAAUGCUCUUGACUUCCACAGGGCCCAUAAUUCUUUCCAAGGCUUUUCACUUCAGAGACUUGUUUGAAGAAUACUGAAGACCAUUUUUAUACUUCACUCACAUGCAGAAAGAAGAAAUCUUUUUCUAAGCAAGUAAGGAAUCCUCUAAAACAAAUCAAAGAUGUGGGCACUGAUCACAGAAGACUAAUUAACUUAAGGCAAGUAACCCAGGAAAAUUAAUGCUGAAUUCGGGGUAGUUCAAAGACUUCAAGGAUAAUAGUUUAAAAUGAAGCAUUUAUGGCCUUGAAUAGUUAAGACCUUGUGAAUUACUGUAUUCUAUUCAGAAGGCAUGAAACAUUAAAGGUGAGAGGAAUAGAAAUAAGUCUGUAUGUACAAAGUGAUGGGAAGGAGAAAGGAAGAGCUCUCACGCAAGAUUCCUCAAGAUCUCAAAGUCUACUCAGGAGAUAGUGACCACUACUACUGCACUAUGAACAGGGACAUGGAUGCAGGGAGGUUGUCAAAGGAACAUGUGCAGGGGUUCCAGGCAUGCUGGAUUCCCCCUUAGGUGGUGUGUCUGGUGGAUGCUGCACCUGUGACAGGGUCUUCAUGUCCCAUGUUUGUAAGUAGCUUCUUUAUAGUGUUGCUAAAAUCAGUGUUCACUACUCAGAAACAGAGAAGAAGGUUCUGAAUCACUGAUGUAAAGUGGCACUGUAAAGGCAAUGUGAUCCUAGAACACACCAGGAAGAUUUUUGCUGGAUAAAUAAAGCUUUAGUACCUCAGUAUAAGAUGCUUAUGUGACCCUGUCAGAAAUAAUAAUGAUCAGCUUUUAAAUGGGUGUUUCAGAAGGAUAAAUUGAAAGUUGGAACAUAUGUCCAAAAGGGCCAUUGAAAUGACAGGGCUACUUGUAUUGCUGAAGAAAGUCAAGAGUUUUCAAAGAGAGACAGGAAACUCUGAUAAGGUGUCACUAGAAAACACCAAAGCAAAAAAGAGAUGUUGCUGCUGAAGGACAAAAGGGGUGGAUAUCCACAGGUUUUUAGUAGAUGUACCCAUGAAAGUCGAGGUUUUCUAGCAAAGUGGAACAGCUGCAACAGGAGACUGUAAGAGGGACAAACAGAAUAGUUGUUAAGAAAAAGGGAGUAAAACAGCAGUUUGAACAUCCCUUUCCUCAGUGUUUGCUGUUUUGGGCUAUAUUUCUCAUUCUUUGAUUAAACUUUGAAAACAUUG